ACAAUACACACGCACACACAGAGGGAGGUGGGAAAUAAAAUAAAAUGACUCUUAAAAACGUUUUAGAUAUUUGAAUAUUUCCAGCUUUAGUAUCUAAUUACUUUGCUUAUCAUUUAUGGACUUUGUGUCAUUGAAUAUUUUCUAAUUUUAUUCGGACAUGUAUUGUAGCUCACAGUGUGAUCUCUUUUGAUAAGUGGCCUUACAUAUACUAACAGGGAAUGCAUAUUUUGUUGAUGGGUGUAAUGUUCAAUAAAUGUAAAUUAGGUCGUGCUUUGUCAAGCACUGCUCAAGUGUUUUAUAUUUUUGCUGAUAUUUUCGUCAUCUUCUAUCAAUUGUGAAGAGAUGACUGUUGAAAUCUUUAUUCUUUCUGUUUUUUAAAUUUUCUUCCAUCAGUUAUUAUAAUCUUUGUUAUUAGCUGGGCAAAAAUAUAGGAUUACUAUGUCUUUUCAUAAACUGAUAAAUUACCAAAUGAUAUUCUUUAUUCUUGGUAUUGCUCUCUACCCUGAUAUCAUCUGUUAUGAGCAGAACCUCUCUUCAAUUUUCUUCUGGUCAAUGUAUUUGCUUCUUAAGUGUGAUGUAAAAAGAAAGAUAGUAGAGAGAGGAGAGAGAGAGAGAGAGAGAGAGAGAGAGAGAGAGCAGGAACUCAGACACACAUGGCUUAUGAUUCUAGAAUUUCAGUCUCUCACAAUUCUGGAGGCUAUAAUUUCAAGUUUAAGGUAUCAACAUGGUGAUGACUCUGUAAAGAAUCAUUCCAGAAAUGUAAAUCAGAUCUGGCUGUGUUUUUGAGAGCAAUCCUUGCUGGCACUCCUGUCCACCCGUGACACUAGAUGAUUUGUGUACCCCUGAGUCUGUCCCACGAUACAUUCCCAUUCCAAAGGACAGGCAAGAAUAAAUUAAGGGAUCAUUGGUCUACAGAUGGAAACAACCCACCAGGAAACUGCCCCUCUAAGUUUCCAGACCUCACAAUAAUCCUCUGCCCAUCCAUGCCUUUACCCUGUUGCCAGAGUACAUUGUCCUGAUUAACUCUUGUCUGGUUUACAGUUCCUAUCUCCAGGUAGCUCCCUUAUUCCUCAGUUUGCUAUAAACAACAUGGAGACGCCAGGCCAUAGCUUCCACCUUUUGCCAAAUAUUUGAGUCAUCACUUAUAUUUUCUAUUUUCCCUCCAAACACUAAGCUCUGUUCGCUAAAGAAUUCUGUCAUUUUCUAACAAGAAUAGUCUUUUCUUCAAGGUCUAAGAACAUGAUUUUUGCUGAGACUUCAUCAGGGGUAGUUGUAUUUUUGCCGUGGUUUGUAUAUCUACCACCCUCCUGUUCACAAAGACAUAAGCAUUUUCUAAGAUGACAGAGGCUUCCUUCCACGGCCUUCACUUCUUCCAAGGCUCUUACCAGCAUCAUCUUUAGUGCCUAAAUUUCUACCAAACCUCUUUAAGGAAACCUAGAACUUUUCUGUCAAACACCUCAAAAUUCUUCUAGCUUGUGCGCAGUGCCAAAGUCACUUCUACACUGUCAAGCAUGUGUUCAAUAUCCCCGUGGGUUUUUUUUGGGGGGGGUUGGUACCAAGUCAGUAUCAGUCUCCUAGUGCUGCUAUAAUUAAUUACUAGACAGGGGAUAGCUUAAAACAAGAGUAACAUAUUCUCUUGUGAUUAAGGAACCCAUAAAUCUGAGCAGGAAGCAUUGGCCUGGUCCCACUUUAUCUGGAGGCAAUGAGGAAGAAGAUCUUAGUCUUUCCUACCUUCUGGUGUCUGACAGUUUUUUACAUCAUCUGGCUUGAAUCUGCACCACGACAUCCUCUCUACUGUUGCCAUGUGCCUUCCUCUCUGAGUACCUGUGCCUAUCUCCUGCUACCCCUCCUCCCCUCCUCCUCUCCUCCUCCUUCUAACCCUACAUUAUAUCACGUAUAAGAACCCUCAUGAUCCUGCAUGGCUUCCUCUUAACUAAUGGCUUCUCCAUAGUUCCUAUUUCCAAAUACCUUCUUUAAGACUCUGGGUGACCGUGAAUUUUUGGCAGAUGCAAUAGUACUCAGUGAACAAAGCGUAUCUCAUCUUAUCCUUCUCCUGUUAUCUUACUUAUGCUUUAAUGUUGGCUGUGCUUUUCUUGCAGGCAGCAUAUAGUGGGUCUUGCUUAAUGUCUGGCUUACUAACCUCCAUUAUUGAAGUGUACUCUUUAUGGGCUAUACCCGCUGUCUUGUGAAUUCUGAAUUGUGAAUUCAGACACUACUCUCAGCUCUGCAUCAGGACUAGUAAAGGGUCACUUGUCAUCCUUUCAGAUGGUUUUCUUUAUAUGCAUGCAUUGAUCAGUGUGGAAGUGUGGGGUGAAACAGGUCACUCUUUAGAUGUCUGUAUUUUUAUUUUGUAUAGCUCUCAAUUUUCUGGCCCUCUUAUGGUAAUUCUGACUUCUUAAAUUUUCAGUUUGCCUCCUCAACUCAGCCCUAUCCUUCUUCCCCAUCCUCCUAUGAUCUGAGUCACAGCUCAGAAACACUACUUAAAAAAUCUACUUAGUGUGUCUUGUCAUUAUUUUGGGCUGCUCAGUUAUACAAGAAAGGACUACCUAGACCUAGCUAUUCACCUUUUUCAGAAGAAGAAAUUCUUUGAGAAUUUUCCUGAACUAGGUAGUAAUUAAUUAAAAUUGAGGUAAAAUAUUGUAGGUGAAUAGCACUGUCAAAUCCACAUCGAGAUAACUAAUAUAUAUCUUUUUCCAGAGGAAAUGUCUUUCUGAGGAAAGUCUGUGAAGAAAGUUGUCAGUAGGUAACACUGAUAAUCUGGUCUGGGAAUUCCAAACGCCUGCAUUCAGAUCUGAAUUCUGCCGCUCCUCAACCAUGUGACACGAUACAGCAGGUUACCUCAUGUUUGUACCACAGUGUCUCAUUUAUAAAAUGAAGACACAUCUGGACUCUCAUUAUGAUGUAACAGAACAUUCUUCCAAGAGUACCCAGUGUAUGGUGGUCAGCACACUCAAGUCUCCCUCAGCCAUCAGAUCUCAUUAUUUCUCUGCUUCGUCACUCCUUCCUAAAAUACAACUUUGGCUUCCUAGGUAGUCAGUACUUUCCUGGUUAUAAACAGAGGAUGAAAACACACCAGGUUUCCAGUGUAUCCAUCAUCAGCAGAUGACAGGCAGGCUUGCUGUACAGGGACUCAGCAACAUCUCAGCCACAGCAGAUGGGUCUAGCCACAGCUCUGCCACUGAGGUGCCUGCUGUCACUGCAUGAUGCUAGCCUGCCGGGGCUCUGAAUGACACCAGCGCCUGGGAAGACAGCGGCUAAGGCACACAGAAAGAACAAAGCACUUCCGCAGGAGCCUGACUUUCAACCAGGAGUCUGAGAUGCUGAGGAUUGUCCACAUUGCUGCGUGAAUAAAACACGUCCCCUCAGAACGCAGGGUAUGAAAUUCUAGAACAUGAAAAAUGCUGUGCUUUUCAAAUUUUACUUCUUAAAGGCUCAAUUUCUGUGGUGGGAGUUGUGAAGCUGCAAACAAAUACAAUAAACUCAGUUAAUGCA
rnacentral:sRNA from 1 species